CCUACGGGAGGCAGCAGUAGGGAAUAUUGCUCAAUGGGGGAAACCCUGAAGCAGCAACGCCGCGUGGAGGAUGAAGGGUCUCGGAUUGUAAACCCCUUUUGGUAGGGAAGAUAAUGACGGUAUCUAAAGAAUAAGCACCGGCUAACUCCGUGCCAGCAGCCGCGGUAAUACGGAGGGUGCAAGCGUUACCCGGAUUCACUGGGGGUAAAGGGCGCGUAGGCGGGGUAGCAAGCCAGAUGUGAAAUCCUAUGGCUUAACCCUAGAACUGCAGUUGAAACUGUUAUUCUAGAGUAUGGGAGAGGUAGGUGGAAUUCUUGGUGUAGGGGUGAAAUGCGUAGAUAUCAAGAGGAACACUGAUUGCGAAGGCGGCCUGCUGGAACGUAACUGACGCUGAGGUGCGAAAGCGAGGGUAGCGAACAGGAUUAGAUACCCGGGUAGUC
rnacentral:rRNA from 1 species